rnacentral:rRNA from 1 species
CAGUCGCCGCGGUAACACGUAGGGUGCAAGCGUUAAUCGGAAUUACUGGGCGUAAUGCGUCUGUAGGUGGCUUUUCAAGUCCGCCGUCAAAUCCCAGGGCUCAACCCUGGACAGGCGGUGGAAACUACCAAGCUAGAGUACGGUAGGGGCAGAGGGAAUUUCCGGUGGAGCGGUGAAAUGCGUUGAGAUCGAAAAGAACACCAACGACGAAAGCACUCUGCUGGGUCGACACUGGCACUGAGAGACGAAAGCUAGGGGAGCAAAUGGGAUUAGAUACCCCAGUAGUCCCUGUCUCUUAUAC